GUCCCACCCAUUGAGACGCUGUCCCGCAUUUUGAUUGGCAGCUAUAAUUUUCAAAAGUUAAAACUCUAAAGGACAGGUGCUGGGAGUUUUGUUUUUUAUCUGGCUUUUUUCUAUGUUAGUCAAACAGCGCGAUCACGACCAGAUUAACCUGUCAGUGUCUUGCUGCCGCACCUUGUUGUCAGCUGCCGUAAAUUGUGCCAGUGGCGACCGGUCGCGACACACCGCAAAGCAGACACAAACACUGAACUAUGGAUUUUGGCGGAGAUAAUGGAAAGUACAGAAAAGAAGAGGAGAUGCAGCUUCAACAAAGACUGGGAAACUACAUAUCUCUGGGUGAAGCCGGUGCAAGGUGAUUCUCAGAGAGUUUUCUGUCAAGUUUGCCAGAGUUCGUUUUCCGUUUCACACGGUGGGGAAUACGACGUGAAGCGACACGCUACAUGCGAGACCCCCCUCUCAGCUUUGUAUCUUAGGGUGAACCUACGCUGAUGGAUGUCCCAUGUGGUCUCGAGGUUCUUCUGAGCUGAGGUGAAACCACAGGACUUCUACGCGGCCCUCCCAGCGCCCGCCUCAUCAGCGGGGAGAACGUUGGCCCCCUCACCGGCGUGGUCGGAGCAGACUCUGACUGCUUAUUGGCGAGGAUUUCAUCUGCAAACCACACCCUCCUUUUCCCCCUUGGAGGCGUCCCUGACAGAGAACAGUGGUGCCUCCUCUUGGUGAACGUGAACUUCACUCCACACUUCAUGCAGACCUGAGCUUCAGCAUCUGGGACCCACACCGGAGCGACAUCCCCCAGGACGGAGCCUCGAUCCUUGGACAGGAUGCCGACGGGGCUGCUCUCAUUAUCAGGAUCCACAGGAGAAGCUGCACACUCGGCCAUCGCUCCUCCUCCACUGGCUGCCUGGGCCUUGCUGGUUUCAUCUCCUCCAUUAGGUCUGGUCAUCUUCACCUGGCUCUGCAGCUCCUUUCCACAGGUCUCCUCAGAUGAAGGUGCUGCAGUCGCCUCUGAGCUGCGGGUUUGCUCUUGCUGCUCACUUUCCUCCACCUCCUUCUCCUCAAUCACCGAGUCCUCCUUCGAUGGGAGAACCUGGGGCUUCUCCUCAUCCUCAGGCCAGGCUGCCUCUGCAGGGCUCAGCACCAGAGGGCUGGAGGACGCCUCCCGCUCACCCCAUGUGGAGAUGGCGGUCACAGUGCAGCUGCCUUCCUCCAGCUGGGAGUGUGAAGCUGUUUUGGUGGGAAACUCAUACGGUUUCUGCUCACAUGUGCUUCUGAUUGUUGCAUCCGAGGCGGCUUUGGACGGAGAUUCUGCUCUGAUUUGUCCUGGUUUCGACACAUCCCCGUCUUUGAGCACCAGAAGGCAGGGCCUGUUGAGCCAGUGCUGCUUGGUGUCCUGCAGAGACGGAUUGUCUCCUUCAUCUGUUUCGAGGAGGAGCAUAAUGAUAUCAUCAGUGUCUCCGUCGUUCUUUCUGUCGAAGCGUGCACACACUUACACCAGGCGUGAUGCAUGCGUGCUCAUGAAUAAAGACUCAUUAGCUGGAAUAGCUGUGUUCACAUGAGCUAAGUGGCCAUUAAGUACAAUGUGAUAAUUCAUCUGUGCACUUCUAACUGCACCUCACAGCCUUCAGUCAUCACUGAAGACCCUUCAGGGGUGUGUCUGAGCAGAUCACAUCACACAAAGUAGUUUUUUUUUUUUUUAAAGGUGCUUUGUUUCGACUAAGUAUUGAUGCUCAGCCAGUGGCAGCCGUGGAUAAGACUGAUGAUACCACACAGCUAACGGUUCCCCAGAGAUAAAAAAGUUCAAUAGUGGUUCUGUGUUUAAUUGGCUCUGUGUAGCAUCUCACAUUAAAGGCUUGUAUGUUG